AAUGACCCCAAAAACAAUCAAUAUUAACUUCUUGCUUUCAUUCUGAAGCUCUUGGUUUUCUUUAGUUAAAAAUAAUCUACCAUUAAAUUUUCUGGCGGAAGAGUACCGACUUCCUUUAUAAACAGGACGAAGCGUUACGCCCACUUUUACUCAAGCUGCCACAGGCACCCGGACAACGCUACAUGAGGUGGAUAAAUCCCAGAAAGCUGGGGUGACCCGUCUGUGAGCUGGCAGCAGUGGAAAACUUAUUCUCAUGUUGGAGGGAUUAUCAGCGAACUGAGGAGGAGAGCUGCAACGGUGUGACAGAAUGAACCUUUGUAACCAAGAAUACCUGAAAGACGCACGAUGCAUUAAGCACAGGAAUAAACUACUGACAUGUGCAGAUAAAGACGGAGAUACUGAAACUUCCAUCUAGACCCCACAUUGGAGUGUGUCAGUUGACCAGUCGGCUCCUCCUUCGCCCCGCCUUGAGCAGUGCUUUAACUUUCAGGUUGAGGUUUCAACACCUCCAGAAAAGAAAGAAACAUGCCCACCUGUCUACUCAUGUCUGCUCCUCAGUCAGAGGCUGUGAAUGGCUGAGACCUUCAGAUUCCUCCUGAACCGCAUCACCAUCCUCCUGAUUGGGG